rnacentral:lncRNA from 1 species
GCACCACCAUCUGGAUCGGGAGGCGGUCGUUCUGCGCCGCGUGGCUCGACGCGUCCUGCGACAGCUUCUGGCAGUCGAUCAGCUUGCACAGCUUCUUGCACUCCGAUUCCGUCAGAGACGGGUGUGCCUAAACAGAGGAUAUGGUCAGGUAUAAAAAAAUUGACCAAGCAAGUUUUAAUCAUUCAGAGAGCAAUGUUCUAGUGAUCAGCUAAAUUUAUUCUUUUUGAUCGUAUAAAAAUAGCACUUUUCAUCAUUGACGAUAACGGCAGUAGUUUUUUUUAUGCAAUUUGCCUUUAAACUUAAAGAUUGAUCCAGCAAUGUUAAUUGGACAGAGAUCAAAGUCCCGUGAUUACCUAGAGUUCAUUCUAUUUUGUUGCAGAUACAUUUUCAUCAAGAGUGAAUAAUGCUGUCUAUAUAUGGUAGUAUUUACUUAGAUGGGGAAACCUGUCUACUCACAAUAUGGAAAAUCAAAUAUGCAUUAUUUUUUUUCUCGAAAAGUUAGCAGGAGCGCUGCCAUAUCAAAUAUGCAUUCAAACCUCUGCAUUUCCUGAAACAACUACAAAAAUGUGACAUUUCUAAUCUAAUGCCCUUUAUUACCUUCAGGUAUAUGUCGAUGGCACGAUAUAGUCCAUCAUCAACAAUGCGUGCGUAAUCCGGCAAUAGUUCAAUAAGAGCCAUGAACUUCUGCAGCUUCAGAUAUGGAUCUGGAGCUAUCUCUGCUAGAUAGCCAUCCAUUAGUCUUCCAACCUUCAAGACUGAACUGUGACUUGGAGACUUCAGUCCAUCUGAAUCAUAUCCACAAGGUGACAACUCUCCUGAAUCAUCUUCGUCGAUCCUUUGCAAGAAGUUCACCAAUAUGCGAUGCACAGUGUCAACGUCAAACAUUGAGUCGCUUGUUUGCGUCGAGGGGAUCAGGAGAUCGUCUAGUGAUGCCAUCUCAAGCUGGAGACCAAUCCUUUUCUCGACUUCGAUUCUACAAUCUAGACUUGCAUCAACUUCAAUUGCCAUCCUCAGCAUGCCAAACAAGAAUGACAAGGUAACCGUCGUAAUAUUUUCAGCUGCCAACAGAUCGAUGAGUGUUUCGACUAUCAUUCUUUGAUCAUCUCCGACAAAGGGACCUGAGUCCCAUACAUGGCGUCUUUCAACACCCUUUAGCAAUGUCUGGGCAUAGUGUGUAAUAGAGGUGCCAAUACUCUCUGGCCUCACCCCAUUUCUCCUCAUUGCAGCAAUCACACGCCGAUAGUGGUCGAUUCUCAGUGCAGAAAGGUCUUCAACCCACCAAUCCUGGGAGUGCAUACGCAACUUUCCAGAUCCCACAUUACAUUCCAAGUGCGCCAAGCCUGAAACCAGCUGCUCCUUGCUUGCAUUCAUCGCA